rnacentral:rRNA from 1 species
GAUGAACGCUGGCGGCGUGCCUAAUACAUGCAAGUCGAGCGAACAGAUGAUGAGCUUGCUCCUCUGACGUUAGCGGCGGACGGGUGAGUAACACGUGGAUAACCUACCUAUAAGACUGGGAUAACUUCGUGAAACCGGAGCUAAUACCGGAUAAUAUAUUGAACCGCAUGGUUCAAUAGUGAAAGACGGUUUUGCUGUCACUUAUAGAUGGAUCCGCGCCGCAUUAGCUAGUUGGUAAGGUAACGGCUUACCAAGGCGACGAUGCGUAGCCGACCUGAGAGGGUGAUCGGCCACACUGGAACUGAGACACGGUCCAGACUCCUACGGGAGGCAGCAGUAGGGAAUCUUCCGCAAUGGGCGAAAGCCUGACGGAGCAACGCCGCGUGAGUGAUGAAGGUCUUCGGAUCGUAAAACUCUGUUAUUAGGGAAGAAAAAAUGUGUAAGUAACUAUGCACGUCUUGACGGUACCUAAUCAGAAAGCCACGGCUAACUACGUG